GUGCUCACUUCGGCAGCACAUACACUAAAAUUGGAACGAUACAGAGAUUAGCAUGGCCCCUGUGCAAGGAAGACAUGCAAAUUUGUGAAGCAUUCCAUAUUUAA
rnacentral:snRNA from 1 species